rnacentral:lncRNA from 1 species
CUUCAUUACUGAAAGAUUUCGGUGGAGAAGCAUAGGACAAAUGCUACAAAUCUCUGACCAUAGUCACUCAUUCAGCAAAAUGCUGCUCACCGAUACUGAUUAUUGAGUAUUGUGAGGCACAAGAUGACCUCAAAAGACUGACACUCUCAGGGAGAGAGAUCAUCAAUCCUGUAAUAAAACAACACUCCAGAGUUCCCCCUGAGGAAACAACAAAAAAGUUAAAGUAAUCUGUGGAAUGCAGACAAAGAACUGCACACAGUUUUAUGGAGGAAUUAACGCAAGGAGGAAUCUGUUCUUCAAUAGCUGCAGUAAAAUGUGCCCUGUUCUGGUUUGGAACAAGCGGAAGCAUACGUGAAUUUCUGUCUUACACUGAAAGUUCCCUGUGACUCUAGUUUAAUGAUUUGCGACUGUUGCUGCUGCAACACUAACUGAGAAAUUUCCUAAGUGGAUGCAGACAAACUAAACUAAGGAGGAUCCAGUGUGCAUUGGAGACCCAGAGCUGUACCGGGGAUAGCUUUCCUCAGGGUGUGCUUCUGCAG